UUGUCGUUGAAUCCCUCACACUCACACCUUCACACACUUCCUCAAAACAAAGGGAACCUGUCACACAAUUGUCAAAAAAAAGAAGAAAAAAGAGAACCUCACACUCUCCGACCAUUAGACGUGGCUCUUGCCUGAUCCUUUCAUCUCCUUCUAUCCCCUCGUACCAAAAUUGCUUCCACCCGAGCGCUGCAGAUUCAAUUCUGAAUAAACCUUAGUUUCCCCUCUUGAUUCCUUGCCGUGAUCUUGCUCGUCCUCAACUGCACGCACCUUUGCAGCUCGGCUCACUGGUGCGGCGACGGCGUGACCAUCUACGGCGCCUGGUUUUCCCCGAUGUAUGCCUCCUCAAUCUCUUAUGCUGGUCAACGGCGGCGGAGAGGUAGCAGGGCUCGACGAGAAGCUGCACAAUGGAGGAGGCGAGCUUGUCGAUCUUGACAGUGCCGUUGUCGUCGCCGUCCUUCGAGGCGACAUGGGUGUGGAUCUCGUCUGCUACAGCGAGCUUGGAUCCACAUCGUAUCGUGGUUGUCCCCGAGCAAGACAGCCCAGCAGGUCGUCUUGCUCCUCGAUAGAGAUCACCCGGUCAACAAUAUCAGGUCUUCAUGAUGCUGCUAUGCCUACUUUCUGUAGCAAAGAUUGAAUGUCACAAAUAGGUCUGUGUAUCCAGCCCAUCGACAUAUUGCCAUAGCAUCUUAUUAGUUUUAUGCUUUGUAUCUUGGGCUAUCUGUGAAGCUGGAUGGCACACGACAAUAGUAUUGUCCUUCAUACCUGGGCAGCCCUUGCAUCUCCUCGGUCUAUUGUGUCUUGCAAGCCAGCAUAUAAUUGCGUUCUUAGGUUUCCUUUAUGUCUUUUCAUGCAGUCUAUUUGUACUGCACUACUGCAAAAUGCCUGCAAAGGAAUCCAUAUUGAACUGCAAUUUAAGCUUUUCACACACCAGCAAGUGUUUACAUGAUUUCUCUUGCAUUUUGCACCUUCUUUUAUUGUGCAAUGUAUAUUUCCUCUAUACCCAUCUUCUCCGUAGUGGAAUAACAAUGGAUACUGCACAACCAUGAAUUUUGAAUGGUUCUCCGAUAUUCUUCUUGGUCUCAUGUCUUUGUACUGAACAAUGAUAUCAUGUACUUUUCCAUUCUCUGUUGUAUCACUGACAAUCAAGGCUGCUACUUCAGUUGCAGAUGGCAUGUCAUGUCGUGCUAAUCUCACAUUGUGAUAGUUCAAGUCUGGUACUUCAGUUGCAGAUGGUAUGCCAUGUCGUGUUAAUCUCACGUGGAUAGUCACCUUCGAAUUUAUCCCUUACCAUUCUGAGUGUUUUUGCUAGUCUAUCUUUAUCCAAUAUAUUUUUAAGGUCCUUGACAAUGGGAGGAUCUGUUGAUUCCCUUUUAUCUUCUGAUGUUGACGCGUCAACUCUGAUUCUUACCUCAUUUGUAGUGGCAUAGGUGUGCAACUACGCCGUGCGUGGUUUGUCUUUACCUUCAGGUAGUAGAGUACCUAUCUGUGAUAUUUUUGGCCAUUCAUUCCAAAUACAUAAGGCAUGGGACCAUUUUUUCUGUGUCUACCUCUCCUCCCAUUGAUGUGAAAGCGAACAUGGAGUUGUACAAUCUGAUAUUGUGCAUGUAGUUCUUUCUUCCACCUCUUUACGAACUAAAAGCAUUUGAUUGUGUUGUCACACCUUGAAUUGAAGACGUGCAUUAUACUACUGAUUAUGUUAUUGCUGUUAAGAAAUAUUGAAAUCUAAGAAUAAGAUAAGAUUGCAAUUGAGGAUGAGAAGUUGAUGUACAACAAUGACUGAAAAUCCACAAGGGGAACUUAUGAGAAGUUUAAAAAGCCAUUUUACAUGAAUUAAAAGCUUUUGAUUGUGUUGUCAUACCUUGAAUUGAAGACAUUAGUUGUUCUGCCAUUUCUGCUCUUACUUUUAAGAAAAUAUUGAACUUUAUGUCAGUUCUAUAUGAUCUCUGCAGAUGGUCCAGCUGCUGGAGGUGAUCUGCUCACCUGAUGGAAUCGUCCGCACACAAUUGAGAAGAUUGGGGCACUCGCUCGUGAGAGUUCUUUUUUUAGAGCUCUUUUUUAGGAAAACCUGAUGGAGCCGAUGGCACAAUCGAGGAGGAUGGCACAAUCGUGGAGAUUGGGGCACUCGCUCGUGAGAGUUCUUUUUUAGGGAAAGCCAUCAUGGUGAUGUAUAUUGAUUUGGAAUAAUAGUACAUCAUCGGCAAGAACGGCAAGUAAAAAUUUGGAGGGUUGCUUGUGAUGGUAUGAAUCGAACCUAUGGUGAGUUUUGUUUAUGAGAUCGUGAGAUUGAUUGUGUGAUUUGUGUAAAGAACACGGGACAGAUCAAAAAAUGGUCUGUGAGACCAGCGUAUAGGAGAUGGCAAAAAGACAAAACGGCAUGCAUGCAAUUGAUCAUUGUAGGGUUGGAUAUUUGGGAAGAAUCCAUCAACGUA